GCUGCCCUUGGCGUGCGGCUGGCGCUCCGGGAUCCGUUCCCGGUUGAACUGCGCCAUCUGUUCGAUCAGGUAGGCGUCC
rnacentral:tRNA from 1 species